AUUGAACGCUGGCGGCAGGCCUAACACAUGCAAGUCGAACGGUAACAGGAAGCAGCUUGCUGCUUUGCUGACGAGUGGCGGACGGGUGAGUAAUGUCUGGGAAACUGCCCGAUGGAGGGGGAUAACUACUGGAAACGGUAGCUAAUACCGCAUAACGUAGCAAGACCAAAGAGGGGGACCUUAGGGCCUCUUGCCAUCGGAUGUGCCCAGAUGGGAUUAGCUAGUAGGUGGGGUAACGGCUCACCUAGGCGACGAUCCCUAGCUGGUCUGAGAGGAUGACCAGCCACACUGGAACUGAGACACGGUCCAGACUCCUACGGGAGGCAGCAGUGGGGAAUAUUGCACAAUGGGCGCAAGCCUGAUGCAGCCAUGCCGCGUGUAUGAAGAAGGCCUUCGGGUUGUAAAGUACUUUCAGCGGGGAGGAAGAGAGUAAAGUUAAUACCUUGGCUCAUUGACGUUACCCGCAGAAGAAGCACCGGCUAACUCCGUG
rnacentral:rRNA from 1 species